AUGGCCUGGUCCCCUCUCCUCCUCACCCUCCUUGCUCACUGCACAGGGUCCUGGGCCCAGUCUGUGCUGACUCAGCCACCCUCAGCGUCUGGGGCCCUGGGCCAGAGGGUCACCAUCUCCUGCACCGGCAGCAGCUCCAACAUUGGUACGUAUGAUGUGCACUGGUACCAGCAGCUUUCAGGAAAGGCCCCCAAACUCCUCAUCUAUGAAGACAGCAAACGGCCCUCGGGGAUCCCUGAUCGCUUCUCUGGCUCCAAGUCUGGCAGUUCGGCCUCCCUGACCAUCACUGGGCUCCAGCCUGACGACGAGGCUGAUUAUUACUGUCAGUCCUAUGACAGCAGCCUUGGUGUUCACACAGUGCUCCAGGCCAGCGGGGAAGUGAGACAAGAACCUGCCAUCUGCCCAGAGAUGGGGCUUCCCGUGUCAGUAACCUCACAAAGAAUCACCAAGUGCCCCAGUGCCACAUCCAUGGAGGCAGUAACAUGCGACUCCAGCAGUGAAGAUGAGCAAAGCGCCUACACAGAGACCACACUACAGCAUCGACCUGCAAUCGAUUGA